UACAAGACAGGUCAGUUAGAUGAAAGACAGGUCAGUUAGAUACAAGACAGGUCAGUUAGAUGAAAGACAGGUCAGUUAGAUACAAGACAGGUCAGUUAGAUACAAGACAGGUCAGUUUGAAACAAAACAGGUCAGUUAGAUACAAGACUGGUCAGUUAGAUACAAGACAGGUCAGUUAGAUACAAGACAGAUCAGUUAGCUACAAGACAGGGCAGUUAGAUACAAGACAGGUCAAUUAGAUACAAGACAGGUCAGUUAGAUACAAGACAGGGCAGUACGCAGUUAGAUACAAGACAGGGCAGUUAGAUACAAGACAGGUCAGUUAGAUACAAGACAAGCCAAUUAGAUGCAAGACAGGUCAGUUAGAUACAAGACAUGUGAGUAAAAUACAAGACGGGUGAGUUAGAUACAAUACAGGUCAGUUAGAUACAAAACAGGUCAGUAAGAUACAAAACAGGUCAGUUAGAUACAUGACAGGUCAGUUAGAUACAAGACAGGUCAAUUAAAUACAAGACAGGUCAGUUAGACACAAGGCAGGUCAGUUAGAUAAAAGACAGUUCAGUUAGAUACAAGACAGGUCAGUUAGAUACAAGACAUCUCAGUUUGAUACAAAACAGGUCAGUUAGAUACAAGACAGGUCAGUUAGAUACAAGACAGGUCAGUAAGAUACAAGACAGGUCAGUUAGAUACAAGACAGGUUAGUUAGAUACAAGACAGGUCAAUUAAAUACAAGACAUUUCAGUAAGACACAAGACAGGUCAGUUAGAUACAAGACAGGUCAGUUAGAUACAAGACAGGUGAGUAAGAUACAAGACAGGUGAGUUAGAUACAAUACAGGUCAGUUAGACACAAGACAGGUCAGUUAGAUACAAGACAGGUGAGUAAGAUACAAGACAGGUGAGUUAGAUACAAUACAGGUCAGUUAGACACAAGACAGGUGUCAGUUAGAUACAAGACAGGUCAGUUAGAUACAAGACAGGUCAGUUAGAUACAAGACAGGUCAGUUAGAUACAAGACAGUUUAGUUACAUACAAGACAGGUCAGUUAGAUACAAGACAGGUCAAUUAUAUACAAGACAUGUCAGUUAGACACAAGACAGGUCAGUUAGGUACAAGACAGGUGAGUAAGAUACAAGACAGGUGAGUUGGAUACAAUACAGGUCAGUUAGACACAAGACAGAGUUAGAUACAAUACAUGUCAGUUAGAUACAAGACAGGUCAGAUAGAUACAUUACAGGUCAGUUAUAAACAAGUCAAGUCAGUUAGAUACAAGACAGGUAAGUUAUCAUAUCUUGUAAUGUAAUGCAUAGAGAAAUGGCAUUUCUAAAGAGCAGAUUUUAUUUUGAGUGAAACUCCAUGAAAUAAACGGAAUUUAAAAAGCGUAUGUAGCCUUUAUUAUGCUUAUGGUGUAGAAUACAAAAUGCAUUUGUUUGCUUAAAUGAAUGCAAACCAGAUUAUUUGUAAAGAAAUGAUUGGAUUGCAAAUUGUAUUCAUUAAAUAGCAGGAUUGUGGAUUAUGUUUUACUAAUAAUCCAUGAUGUGUAUUGUGUUGG